rnacentral:rRNA from 1 species
GACGAACGCUGGCGGCGUGCUUAACACAUGCAAGUCGAACGGAAAGGCCCUGCUUUUGUGGGGUGCUCGAGUGGCGAACGGGUGAGUAACACGUGAGUAACCUGCCCUUGACUUUGGGAUAACUUCAGGAAACUGGGGCUAAUACCGGAUAAGAGCUCCUGCUGCAUGGUGGGGGUUGGAAAGUUUCGGCGGUUGGGGAUGGACUCGCGGCUUAUCAGCUUGUUGGUGGGGUAGUGGCUUACCAAGGCUUUGACGGGUAGCCGGCCUGAGAGGGUGACCGGCCACAUUGGGACUGAGAUACGGCCCAGACUCCUACGGGAGGCAGCAGUGGGGAAUAUUGCGCAAUGGGCGGAAGCCUGAUGCAGCAACGCCGCGUGCGGGAUGACGGCCUUCGGGUUGUAAACCGCUUUCGCCUGUGACGAAGCGUGAGUGACGGUAAUGGGUAAAGAAGCACCGGCUAACUACGUG